rnacentral:rRNA from 1 species
GACGAACGCUGGCGGCGUGCCUAACACAUGCAAGUCGAACGAGGUCCAUGCAGUGGCAACACUGCGGAAGACCUAGUGGCGAACGGGUGAGUAACACGUGAGGAACCUGCCCCGAAGACCGGGAUAACUCUCCGAAAGGAGCGCUAAUACCGGAUGCCCCCACCGAACCGCAUGGUUUGGUGAGGAAAUGGAUUCCGCUUCGGGAGGGCCUCGCGGCCUAUCAGCUAGUUGGUGGGGUAACGGCCCACCAAGGCAUCGACGGGUAGCUGGUCUGAGAGGACGAUCAGCCACACUGGGACUGAGACACGGCCCAGACUCCUACGGGAGGCAGCAGUGGGGAAUCUUGCGCAAUGGGCGAAAGCCUGACGCAGCAACGCCGCGUGGGGGAUGAAGGCUUUCGGGUUGUAAACCCUUUCAGCAGGGACGAAUCAAGACGGUACCUGCAGAAGAAGCCCCGGCUAACUACGUGCCAGCAGCCGCGGUAAUGUAGACGU